CCUACGGGAGGCAGCAGUAGGGAAUCUUCCACAAUGGGCGAAAGCCUGAUGCAGCGACGCCGCGUGGGUGAAGAAGGUCUUCGGAUCGUAAAGCCCUGUUGUUAGAGAAGAAAGUGCGUGAGAGUAACUGUUCACGGUUCGACGGUAUCUAACCAGAAAGCCACGGCUAACUACGUGCCAGCAGCCGCGGUAAUACGUAGGUGGCAAGCGUUAUCCGGGUUUAUUGGGCGUAAAGGGACCGCAGGCGGUCUGUUAAGUCUGAUGUGAAAGCCUUCGGCUUAACCGGAGUAGUGCAUUGGAAACUGGGAGACUUGAGUGCAGAAGAGGUGAGUGGAACUCCAGGUGUAGCGGUGAAAUGCGUAGAUAUAAGGAAGAACACCAGUGGCGAAAGCGGCUCUCUGGUCUGUAACUGACGCUGAGGUUCGAAAGCGUGGGGAGCAAACAGGAUUAGAUACCCGAGUAGUC
rnacentral:rRNA from 1 species